UGUUCAGACUGGUGUCCAUCAUGUGAAAUAUUUGUGAAAGACAUCAUGCUGAAUAGA
rnacentral:pre_miRNA from 1 species